CAUAAACGGUAUUAAUCCGUCCCAAUUAAUUGUGCGGGAUUCAUAAAAAAUUUGUAGAAAAAUAUCAUCUUUCGAAGCGGAAUUUAAAAAAUAUAGGUGGCUAUUUUAAAAGUCAAUAGAUGCUAUAGGUAUGACAAUGUUUAUGUGGAGCGGUGGAGCCAACUAAUGAGUUUUGAAGAACUAUAAAUGACGAAUAUUACAACUUAGGGAAAACCGGAUUAUUUAACUAAAAUCAGUCGUUCAUCCGAUAUUAUUAAAGGUGAUUUCUAAAGUUUUCAUU